rnacentral:rRNA from 1 species
CCUACGGGAGGCAGCAGUGGGGGAUAUUGCACAAUGGGGGAAACCCUGAUGCAGCGACGCCGCGUGUGGGAAGACGGUCUUCUGGAUUGUAAACCACUGUCCCCAGGGACGAAAAUGACGGUACCUGGGGAGGAAGCUCCGGCUAACUACGUGCCAGCAGCCGCGGUAAUACGUAGGGAGCAAGCGUUGUCCGGAAUUACUGGGUGAAAAGGGAGCGUAGGCGGGGAUGCAAGUUGGGUGUCAAAACUACCGGCUCAACCGAUAGUCGCACUCAAAACUGCAGCUCUUGAGUGAAGUAGAGGCAGGCGGAAUUCCUAGUGUAGCGGUGAAAUGCGUAGAUAUUAGGAGGAACACCAGUGGCGAAGGCGGCCUGCUGGGCUUUUACUGACGCUGAGGCUCGAAAGUGUGGGGAGCAAACAGGAUUAGAUACCCCAGUAGUC